UACAGAGGGGGCGAGCGUUGUUCGGAAUUACUGGGCGUAAAGGGCGCGUAGGCGGCCUUCUAAGUCGAACGUGAAAUCCCCGGGCUCAACCCGGGAACUGCGUCCGAUACUGGGAGGCUUGAAUCCGGGAGAGGGAUGUGGAAUUCCAGGUGUAGCGGUGAAAUGCGUAGAGAUGUGGAGGAACACCGGAUGGCGAAGGCGAGCCUUCUGGGCCAAC
rnacentral:rRNA from 1 species